rnacentral:rRNA from 1 species
GAUGAACGCUGGCGGCGUGCCUAAUACAUGCAAGUCGAGCGAAUGGAUUAAGAGCUUGCUCUUAUGAAGUUAGCGGCGGACGGGUGAGUAACACGUGGGUAACCUGCCCAUAAGACUGGGAUAACUCCGGGAAACCGGGGCUAAUACCGGCUAACAUUUUGAAACGCAUGGUUCGAAAUUGAAAGGCGGCUUCGGCUGUCACUUAUGGAUGGACCCGCGUCGCAUUAGCUAGUUGGUGAGGUAACGGCUCACCAAGGCAACGAUGCGUAGCCGACCUGAGAGGGUGAUCGGCCACACUGGGACUGAGACACGGCCCAGACUCCUACGGGAGGCAGCAGUAGGGAAUCUUCCGCAAUGGACGAAAGUCUGACGGAGCAACGCCGCGUGAGUGAUGAAGGCUUUCGGGUCGUAAAACUCUGUUGUUAGGGAAGAACAAGUGCUAGUUGAACAAGCUGGCACCUUGACGGUACCUAACCAGAAAGCCACGGCUAACUACGUGCCAGCCGCCGCCGUAA